AGUUUAUCAAGAGUGAAGGAGAGAUCAGGCUCAAUGAAUUCACAGCAACCUGCAUGCUCAUACAUGCAAGGUGCUUCUACCUGCAAAGCAUUUAGCUUUGGGUGAUAAGAA
rnacentral:ncRNA from 2 species